rnacentral:SRP_RNA from 1 species
GCUGGGCGUGGUGGCAUGUGCCUUGAAUCCCAGCUAUUCGGGAGGCUGAGGCUGGAGGAUAGCUUGAGUCCAGGAGUUCUGGGCUGUAGUGUGCUAUGCCGAUCUGGUGUCCGCACUAAGUUUGGCAUCAAUAUGGUGACCUCCCGGGAGCAGGAGACCACCAGGUUGCUUAAGGAGGGGUGACCAGCCCAGCUCCAGAAACAGAGCAGGUCAAAACUCCCAUGCUGAUCAGUAGUGGAAUCGCACCUGUGAAUAGCCACUGCACUCCAGCCUGGGCAACAUAGUGAGACCCUGUCUCU